UUAUUUUUUUCCCUUUGGUGUGGUUUGGUUUUUUUUUCCUUUAGCCUCAAUACAGGCAAGGUCCUUCUCAAACAUGAAAGAAGGCUCUGUCUGAGAAAUUCAUUAGCCAAAUUAGAGAUAAAAUAAUGAGGGGGUGAGAAGGAGGCAGCAAGGGAUGGGGGUGGGAGGGCAAAUGUGGACAAGGAUAGCAGGAGAGAGUUCUCUGCUAGGGUAGCUGAUUAAAACAAUGGUACAGUACCUUGACUAAUGUGAAGCUAAUUAAAACUGUAUAGGACAAAGCACUUCUAAAUAUACUAUAGGGAUCAAUCUUGCUAUGGCAAAUCCAUCCCCAGUGAAAUUUCAUUGACUUCAAUGGGUUUUCUUCUGGGAUGAAUUUGGACUGAUAACUUAAUAAUUCUUUUCUGUCUUUAAUUUCUAAGGACUUUUUGUCAGAAGCACGGCAAGGAACUUCAGUUUGGCUUUCAAAAGUGCUGAACACCCAAAACUCCUACCAAGGCUUCCUGGAAUUACAGAAGCUGAAGUGCCCCUAAUGCUUGGCGAACAGUUACCCUGUAAUCUUCCUGACUCUUUGAAAAAGGAAGAAAAACAAUGCAUACAAAUUUCUGAGAACCUUGCUGAUGCUGAGUCUCCUUGAGUGAGAAAACAGGUGGGCUCUCCCUUCCUGGCCAGACUGAAAGCAUGUCACAUUCUCCUGCAGAAUUUUCACAUGAGGAUGUUUGGGAGAGCUCUUUGUGGUGCAACUCACUUGAGUCUUAUUUUGAGGUGAGGUGGAUGCUUGUAUAAAUAAUGUCAUUGUCCUCUCAUACUCUUUUGUAUCUCUGCUAGUGUUUUGCUUUUGUUGGUUGUGGCCAG
rnacentral:lncRNA from 1 species